GAGGGAGGCGGAGGGGGGCCGUGGCGCGCUUGGGGAAGCGGCUGGGAGCGGAGUUGGGGGAGCGGGAGCUCCGCUGCCGUCGGGGGCGACUCCUCGUUACAUCCCGGUAGUUUGGUGUCCGCUGUACUCUGAACAGCAACUCCCGGUACCGAUUGUCUGCCUCGGCAAAACACGCUGGUUCCCCCGUUCGACCCUGCCGUGGAGCAUGGGAAAAGGCAGCUACCGGCCUACCAGGAGAAUGUAAGAUCCUGGGGUUUUUUUCUGGAGGACCUUGGCGAGGUCUUGGGAGGGCUGGAGUGAGACAUCACAGAUGGAGACUGGAUGAGACUCGCUCGCUACGCAGUGGGGGAGCAAAUAACUUAAUGUUUGCCUCCGUGUUUGUCCUUCUGUCUGAUCCCGGUGUUCCUCAAAGCUUCAGACACCAGCCAGGCCUCGUGUCUGUGUUCCAGUUGCCAACUGCAUUAGCAGCGGCUGCUCCUAAGUCCCAAUGACACUUUAUUAAUUUGAGACUUCCACAAAGCGUUUGCUUUUAGCAAUAAAGACUUAGCACUGCAGAUUGAGAAUUA